GAAAUCAUGCUCUGGAUCAGUCUGGAGAGGCCUGGUGUGUUUGGAUUGGCAUGGCGGCUGGCAGACGACAGGGGGAGGUGGAGCUGGAAGAGAGUUAUAAAUAAACAUUUCAACAGGGCUGGGGAGAGGUGUCGGCAGGCCUCAGGCCACGGACCUUCCCUGGGCUCGUUGGCGCCCCUCCAGGUCACAUUACAUGAGUAAACUGCAGCACAGCAACACUGUACGUGUGUGUGUGUGACAGAGAGAAAGAGAGGCGAGACCUGAGAAGGUGGGGUGUGUGUUGCUAUAGUAGCAAACUCAAUGAAGGCCUCACUGUGCCAAACUCAAUGCACAGGGAGAACAUACUAUUACAUGAAAACAAAAUGUUCCAUUGACAAUCCCCUUACUGAAGACGUUCUCAGACGUUAGACUGUGAUGAUGAUGAUAAUGAUGAUGAUGAUGAUAAACAACAUUAAUGUCCAAAAUAUUAACAAUUGAAAAAAAAGGUUUGGUUUAAGUGUUCAAACUAUGGAUGUCAGUUGCAUUGAAUUUUGCGUCUGACAGCGUGUCUCCCCUUUUUUUUUUUAUAUGCAAAAUGACAUGAAAUACAAGAGGCCCUUCCCUUUAAGUCUGGCGCUCCACAGACUGAAAAAGCUCCGGCGCCGCUGCGUCAGCUUCUCGGCAAGGUUGUCUGAGUGAAGAGCACACUGGUCUCUCACAGACGGACGCACCUCCGCGCUCGGCUUUGUCGCAGUGCCAGGUUGGAGCACACUGGACUGCAUCUCCCGGUGAGCAUCGAUGAAGUAAAGGCUGUCCAGCCCGACUCCGGCGGUCCAAACUGCUGCGAUAGAGGAGUAAAGGUCACAGGUCACGGGGGAAGAUCUCUGUGAUUGGACACAGGCCUGUUGUAUCAGCGGUGGAGGACACAGUAAAGCUACG